rnacentral:lncRNA from 1 species
CUCAAUUUCUGCAGAUGGACUUCCUGCAUGUACCCGAAUCCCACUACCCCACCCCCCACCCCUUUCCCACAGCUUGCUGAAGCAGAUACCACCUUAGAUCAUCAAGAUGAGGCCACACCACACAGGUAACAGCAUGGUCAACUGUUUUCUAAGGAUUUCCAGGAU